AGCGAACGCUGGCGGCAGGCUUAACACAUGCAAGUCGAGCGGGCCCUUCGGGGUCAGCGGCAGACGGGUGAGUAACACGUGGGAACGUACCCUUUGGUUCGGAAUAACGCUGGGAAACUAGCGCUAAUACCGGAUACGCCCUUUUGGGGAAAGGCUUGCUGCCGAAGGAUCGGCCCGCGUCUGAUUAGCUAGUUGGUGGGGUAAUGGCCUACUAAGGCGACGAUCAGUAGCUGGUCUGAGAGGAUGAUCAGCCACACUGAGACUGAGACACGGCCCAGACUCCUACGGGAGGCAGGAGUGGGGAAUAUUGGACAAUGGGCGCAAGGCUGAUGCAGCCAUGCCGCGUGAGUGAUGAAGGCCUUAGGGUUGUAAAGCUCUUUUGUCCGGGACGAUAAUGACGGUACCGGAAGAAUAAGCCCCGGCUAACUUCGUG
rnacentral:rRNA from 1 species